GAUGAACGCUAGCGUCAGGCCUAAUACAUGCAAGUCGAGGGGUAUAGCGGUGCUUGCACCGCUAGAGACCGGCGCACGGGUGCGUAACGCGUAUGGAACCUACCCAGACCUGGGGGAUAGCCCGGAGAAAUCCGGAUUAAUACCGCAUAAAAUCACAGCAGGGCAUCCUGCAAUGAUCAAACAUUCAUGGGGUCUGGAUGGGCAUGCGUGCCAUUAGCUAGUUGGCGGGGUAACGGCCCACCAAGGCGACGAUGGCUAGGGGAUCUGAGAGGAUGGCCCCCCACACAGGGACGGAGACACGGACCGGACGCCUACGGGAGGCAGCAGUAAGGAAUAGUGGUGAAUAGGCGCAAGCCUGAACCAGCCAUGCCGCGUGCAGGAAGACGGCCCUCCGGGUUGUAAACUGCUUUUAUUCGAGAAUAAACCCCGCUACGUGUAGCGUGCUGAAUGUACCGAAGGAAUAAGGAUCGGCUAACUCCGUGCCAGCCGCCGCGGUAA
rnacentral:rRNA from 1 species